GCGGGGUUGGCGCAGUCGCGGGAACAGCGCGGAGCAGGUUUUUUAAUAUAUAUUCUUUCUUUAAAAAGAGACCAAAACCUGUCAAAAAAAUACUACCGUGGAAAGCUCAUAAAUACUACAGUGUGAAGAACCCUGUGCUUAUCUUCAGUUUAUCAUCAGACAUCUUAGGGAAGUUUGAUAAAGAACACCAGGAGAAUUGAGAAUUAAAUGAAAAGGUAAAUCCUUUUAAAGACCUCAGAAGAUGGAUCUGUUUGUUUCAAUCUGCUUUUGAGGCCAGAAGGAAAUAUCAGUUGAAAAAAAGCACACCUGGAAUGCAUCACUCUUUAAUUCUCAAAUCCAUAUGAUUGCCCAAAGAAGAGAUGCUAUGGCUCAUCGAAUACUCUCAGCAAGGCUUCAUAAAAUUAAAGGACUAAAAAAUGAAUUAGCUGAUAUGCAUCAUAAAUUGGAAGCCAUCCUUACAGAAAACCAAUUUUUGAAACAACUUCAGCUUAGGCAUUUGAAAGCUAUAGGAAAAUAUGAGAAUUCACAAAAUAAUCUACCUCAAAUUAUGGCCAAACAUCAGAAUGAAGUAAAAAAUUUAAGGCAACUACUUAGGAAAUCCCAGGAAAAGGAAAGAACUGUAUCUAGGAAACUUAGAGAAACUGACAGCCAGUUACUGAAGACUAAAGAUACCUUGCAGGCACUGCAGAAACUUUCUGAAGACAAAAACCUUGCAGAAAGGGAAGAACUCACUCAUAAAUUAUCUAUUAUCACAACAAAAAUGGACGCAAAUGAC
rnacentral:sRNA from 1 species